AGGUAUUUGUGAUACGUCAAAGACAAAUGUAAUCCGCGACAAAAUUCCUUCCAAACUUAAUUGAGAAUGCAGUUUAGUUGUAUGGGGACGUAGUUUUUAGGAGACAUGUCUGCAGCGCAGAC